CCCCGCAGAAGAGUCCCGUCCCCGUGGCGGGCGCCGACGGAGCAACCGCCCCGGAAACUCUCAGGCAACAGGACUGCGCGG
rnacentral:ncRNA from 1 species